AGCAGCCGCGGUAAUUCCAGCUCCAAUAGCGUAUAUUAAAGUUGCUGCAGUUAAAAAGCUCGUAGUUGAAUUUCGGGACUAAUAUGUCGGUCGUGCCUUGGUACGUACUGGCUUAUUGGUUUCUCCUUUCUGAAGAACCAUGAUGUCAUUUAUUUGGUGUCGUGGGGAAUCAGGACUGUUACUUUGAAAAAAUUAGAGUGUUUAAAGCAGGCUCACGCUUGAAUACAUUAGCAUGGAAUAAUGAAAUAGGACGUUUGAUUCUAUUUUGUUGGUUUCUAGGAUCGACGUAAUGAUUAAUAGGGAUAGUUGGGGGCAUUAGUAUUCAAUUGUCAGAGGUGAAAUUCUUGGAUUUAUUGAAGACUGACUACUGCGAAAGCAUUUGCCAAGGAUGUUUUCAUUAAUCAAGAACGAAAGUUAGGGGAUCGAAGACGAUCAGAUACCGUCGUAGUCUUAACCAUAAACUAUGCCGACUAGGGAUCGGAUGAUGUUAAUUUUUUAAUGACUCAUUCGGCGCCUUACG
rnacentral:rRNA from 1 species